rfam:Parcubacteria (Kaiserbacteria) bacterium GW2011_GWB1_52_6 TY70_C0032, whole genome shotgun sequence.
GCUCCCGUCGUUCAAUGGAUAGGAUGCGACCUUGCGGAGGUUGUGAUGUAGGUUCGAUUCCUACCGGGAGCA